rnacentral:rRNA from 1 species
GUCCACGCCGUAACGAUGAAUACUAGGUGUCGGGCCGUAUAGGCUCCGGUGCCGCCGCAAACGCAGUAAGUAUUCCACCUGGGAGUACGUUCGCAAGAAUGAACUCAAAGGAAUUGACGGGACCCGCACAAGCGGUGGAGCAUGUGGUUUAAUUCGAAGCAACGCGAAGAACCUUACCAGGUCUUGACAUCCUUCUGACCGCACCUUAAUCGGUGCUUUCCUUCGGGACAGAAGAGACAGGUGGUGCAUGGUUGUCGU